rnacentral:rRNA from 1 species
UUUUUCCCGCAGUCAAAAAUAUUAGUCAAUGCUCGAAAGAGUGAACUAGCUAACUGAAAUCAAUUAUAAAAUUGAUAACAUAAGGGAAAAUAAUGAUAUUACCUUAUUAUUAGUGUCGUCCAAAACUGGUGCCAGAAGACUCGGUAAGGCCAGAGACAUAAACGUUAAUCGUCUUAAUCAGGCGUAAAGGGUUUGUAGGCGGCUUUUAAUUUUACUUAUUUAAUUUUGUUUUUUUUUUUUGUUAAUUAAAAAUUAUAAGUACAGAAUAAAAGCUAGAAUCAAAUAGAGGAUAUAUCAAAUAAUGCUUAGAGUAGGUCUGAUAUCCUUAGAUACUAAGUAGAAUAUUAAAGGCGAAGGCUUUUUUCCAUUAAUGAUUGACGCUCAGAAACGAAGGUGAGGAUAGGAAAUAGGAUUAGAUACCCAAAAUACCCCUCUCUGUCAACGAUGAAUGGUAGUUAUUAGUAAUAAAUUAAUUAAUGACAAUGUUAACACGAUAACCAUUCCGCCUUGUGAGUACAACUGCAAAGUUGAAAACAAAAAAAUUAGUCGGUUUCGGAGCAAACGAAGUGAAGCAUGUUAUUUAAUUCGAUAAUCCGCA